UACGGAGGGUGCAAGCGUUGUCCGGAUUUAUUGGGUUUAAAGGGUGCGUAGGUGGCUUAUUAAGUCAGUGUUUAAAGUCUGCAGCUUAACUGUAGGUAUGGCAUUGAUACUGAUAGGCUUGAGUAAAGUUGAGGUAGGCGGAAUUGAAGGUGUAGCGGUGAAAUGCAUAGAUAUCUUCAAGAACACCGAUUGCGAAGGCAGCUUACUACCCGAAUAUUGACACUGAGGCACGAAAGCGUGGGGAUCAAACAGG
rnacentral:rRNA from 1 species